rnacentral:rRNA from 1 species
GAUGGACGCUGGCGGCGUGCCUAACACAUGCAAGUCGAACGUGAACUCUGUACUUGUAUAUGGUGAAAGUGGCGAACGGGUGAGUAACACGUUGGUGACCUGCCCCGAGGAGAGGGAUAACUCCUUGAAAGAGGAGCUAAUACCUCAGAUGUCUGGACAGUUAGCGGGUCCAGACUAAAGCUAUGGCGUCUCGGGAGGGGCCUGCGGGCUAUCAGCUAGUGGUGGGGUAAGGGCCUACCAAGGCGAAGACGGCUAGGGGGCGUGAGAGCGCGAUCCCCCACAAGGGAACUGAGAGACGGUCCCUACUCCUACGGGAGGCAGCAGUGAGGAAUAUUGAGCAAUGGGCGCAAGCCUGACUCAGCAACGCCGCGUGGAUGAAGAAGGCCUGG